rnacentral:rRNA from 1 species
GACGAACGCUGGCGGCGUGCUUAACACAUGCAAGUCGAACGGAAACGCCCUGCUUUUGUGGGGUGCUCGAGUGGCGAACGGGUGAGUAACACGUGAGUAACCUGCCCUUGCCUUUGGGAUAACUUCAUGAAACUUGGGCUAAUACCGGAUAGGAGCUCCUGCUGCUUGGUGGGGGUUGGAUAGUUUCGGCGGUUGGUGAUGGACUCGCGGCUUAUCAGCUUGUUGGUGGGGUAGUGUCUUACCAAGGCUUUGACGGGUAGCCGUCCUGAGAGGGUGACCGGCCAAAUUGGGACGGAGAUGCGGCACAGACUCCUACGGGAGGCAGGAGUGGGGAAGAUUACACAAUGGGCGGAAGCCUGAUGCAGAAAAGCCGCGUGCGGGAUGACGGCCUUCGGGUUGUAAACCGCUUUCGCCUGUGACGAAGAGUGAGUGACGGUAAUGGGUAAAGAAGCACCGGCUAACUACGUG